rnacentral:rRNA from 1 species
UACGUAGGGGGCAAGCGUUGUCCGGAUUUAUUGGGCGUAAAGGGCUCGUAGGUGGUUCGUUAAGUCGGAUGUGAAAUCUCCAGGCUCAACCUGGAGCUUGCAUUCGAUACUGGCGUGACUUGAGUACGGUAGGGGAUCACGGAAUACCUGGUGUAGCGGUGAAAUGCACAGAUAUCAGGUGGAACACCGGUGGCGAAGGCGGUGAUCUGGGCCGUAACUGACGCUGAGGAGCGAAAGCGUGGGUAGCAAACAGG